GAACUCCUCCCCGAUUAUAAUACUGUGCGGCGCGCCUUAGAAUCUCCCCCACCGUCGCCGUCAAACACCCAAGGUAAGGUCACCGGACGUUCUUGAGACCCUCGUCGCAAUCUCCAUCCUUCUUUUUGUUGAUUCCGAACAGAAGUUAUAAUCAAACAAGGAAUUCGCUAUCUUUAGCAACCAGGUCAGCCACUUCAAUCGGUGCUUCAUCAUAUUGAAUCAAACCAAUCGGGUUUCCUCUAGCCAUGCUCGCAAACUUAUCGGCAACUUUAUUCGCCUCUCGGUAAAUGUGAUGAACCUGAACUUGCCAUUCCUUCUUCAGUAAAUCCUUAAUCAGAACCAGCAGGGGUUGACCUUCAACGGCAAUCUCCAUCCUUUUCCUGUCGUCGUUGAGCAACUUUGGGUUGUGAAACCCACGAACCGUGGUUCGCGUCCGCCGUCGUUGAGGCCUAGUUUCGGCAGUUUAUGGCCUUGCGCGGCAGGCGUUCGCAAGAAGAAGGACUAGCCUGGUCGGGGGCUCUCCAGGGAGGCCCCCGUCGGGCCUGUUUGUUUGCUGCCGCCGUUUGGAAGCAUAUGGGCACUGUGGCCGGCUGUUUUAGGCAUCGGCAAGGCCGGCCGUGACAUUUCCUACCGUUGGGAACUGCUGCCGGUGAAGUUCGUCUCCGGCAGUCCCAUUUUUCCGAUCUGACAGAUCACUAGAUUCGAACCAAACUCUCUGUCGGAUCCCCGUUCGAUUCGGAAAUAAUUUUAAUGUCGUCUCUAAUUAUUAUUUUGUUCUGAGUUGGUUUCUGUUAUCGGUUUAGCAGAUAUAGAGCCCCGUUAUCGCCACUCUCUUCUUUACACUGCUAUUCGCUGCCGCAAUCGAGAUCUUUAGCGGCGGAGGUACGCGCUGUUAUCCCGAAAUAGCUGCGUCUAUAUUUCUAUCCACCGCUGUUUGAAACACUAGUAGGCAGAGGAGUUGCUGCCCGGAGAAACCACCGAAAUGGGGAAAAGAAAGAAAAAGAGAAAAUAUUCUGAAAAACCAUACACAUCGGACCAACUGGUCCCCGUCCCCAUCGCCUCCCCCACUCCUCUUGCUAAUUUAUCCCUCAAUUCUGUGUUGCUGUAUAGUUGGUGGUUGUGAACGGUGAAGUCCCGAGGUUUAGCUGUCGGAGGGUUUGAAUGCAGAGGGAGACAAGGACAAAGAGUGUUGUACUCGGCAGCCAACGCCAAAAGACAUGAUGCCACCACUCUUGAAACUGCCGAUGGCAUCAUGGUUGCUAUCAGCGGCUUAUCAAUAGCUCUCGUACACUUGAAAAUGGCUUUUCACCUAAGGUUUGCAGCUAUUUACUUUUUGAGUUUCCAUUUGAGUGGGAGGAAUAUGCAUCACCUUCAGAAGGUUGUUCUUCUAAUGAAGAAUCUGUUUGUCAUGGAAGCUGUGCAAUUUCUUCCCUGCCACCUUUAGACAAGCUCCCUGUCCCUGCUGCCAGGAUGCGCAAUCUUCUGAUGUUUUCUGCCGGAGACUCUCGAAAAUUGGUUUUCAAUCACAUGCUGCAGAAAUUGAGCUCCCAUGAUUUCAAAACACAUUUAUUACUGUCGAUUCAAACACGGGAAGUAAACAUCCGGAAGUACGUCCUUAUUCUGCUGCUGAUGGUGAAAAUUCAAAUUGCAAAAAGAAGGUUAAGGUUAUCGAGAAUGAUAAUAAUACGUCGUGUUCAAGGAGUAAAACAAAAGCGGAAUCCAAGGAGGAGGAUCAGUUGAGGAUUGGCGUAGGCAGCAUUACUCAAACUGUAGGUGUUACAACCAGAAGCAUGAUACGGUUUAAGCAGAAGAGAGAUUGCCUUCGUUCAUCAGACUUCCAAGAGAAAAGCAUUGCAGGGAAAAUCUACAAUAAACAUGAAUUAGUAUUGUAGCACUUCAAGGAAAACUGUAGUAGCAAGCAGACCUAGUUCGUCUGGUGAACACAAUGACAUCUCACAAAACCGGCAAGUAUCAAGUGCCGGUCACGUGUCUACUGCACAAGGACCCCAACUUGCCUUUGAGUCCAAAACAUUCAGUCAUGCCGCUGCUGUUAGAGGUAGCCGUGAUGAUCACCCUCACCUCUUCGAAGUUUUGAGCUCCUUUCGAUAAGGAAAUGAUGGAGCAAUUGAUCAGCUGUAAGCCGAUGUUUUCAAGAACUUUCGAUCUCGGUUGUAGACAUCUUACUUCGACCAACAUCUUUCGAAAAUUUUAUUCGUGCAAAUUUCGAAUUGUAUUACUAGAUUGAUCCUCUUUUCGGCUUUAGUUCGGUGUUCUAUUUAAUUUGCUUAAAAGCAACCCAAUUUUUGUAAU